GAGGGGCCAGGAUGCUGCAGGGUUCCACCUGUGCCUGUCUCGGUGUCCAAGUGCUUCGGACCAGGCUGGGUCCUCACCGGACUUUCCCACUGGAGGAGGCCGCCCUGGAGCGAAACCAUUUCCUCCCUGCAGUGACCCCGGCCGAAGCGUCAGUGUGGAGCUGUCCCCCUGGUUAAGAUAAUGGGGCGGAAGGAGAAACACGCCCGCAAGAUUAAGGAGCCCAGCCUGGCGUGGCACCCGGAAAACCUGCUGCAAUAUUUGUGGUGUGCAAACAUUCAUCAGGGCUCUUUGUAUACGGGCUUCUGAGCUGGAGGCCAACUUCCAAAGGCCUUCACCCAUUUCAGAACGGGACCAGGAGCUCACAGCUGUGUUUGGAGAUCUAACACACACUUUCAUUCGGAGAACAG
rnacentral:lncRNA from 1 species